rnacentral:rRNA from 1 species
UACGUAGGGUGCGAGCGUUGUUCGGAAUUACUGGGCGUAAAGCGUGCGUAGGCGGUCCGUGAAGUCUGAUGUGAAAGCCCCGGGCUCAACCUGGGAACUGCAUUGGAGACUGACGGGCUCGAGUGUGGCAGAGGGGGGUGGAAUUCCACGUGUAGCAGUGAAAUGCGUAGAGAUGUGGAGGAACACCGAUGGCGAAGGCAGCCCCCUGGGCUAACACUGACGCUCAGGCACGAAAGCGUGGGGAGCAAACAGG